rnacentral:rRNA from 1 species
GACGAACGCUGGCGGCGUGCUUAACACAUGCAAGUCGAGCGAUGUAGUUUCUUCGGAAAUGGAUUAGCGGCGAACGGGUGAGGAACACGUGAAGAAUCUGCCCUCCACUUUGGGAUAACACAGGGAAACCUGUGCUAAUACCGAAUAUUGAAACAUAAGCGGCAUCACUGAGUUUUGAAAGAAUUUCGGUGGAGGAUGACUUCGCGGCCUAUCAGCUAGUUGGUGAGGUAAUGGCUCACCAAGGCAACGACGGGUAGCCGGCCUGAGAGGGCGACCGGCCACACUGGGACUGAGACACGGCCCAGACUCCUACGGGAGGCAGCAGUGGGGAAUAUUGGGCAAUGGAGGAAACUCUGACCCAGCGACGCCGCGUGCGGGAUGAAGGCCUUCGGGUUGUAAACCGCUUUCAGUAGGGAAGAAGCGAAAGUGACGGUACCUACAAAAGAAGCACCGGCUAACUAUGUGCCAGCCGCCGCGGUAA